CCACGGCUCUCCCCGCGCGGCUGCCAGAAGCCGGGCUGACAGCAGCGAGCCUGCGAGAGCCUGGUGCAUUUGGUACCGCUUAACAGAAAGCUCCUGUUAUUGCGUGAAGGCAGAAUAAUCGCCGGGGAGCUUUCAGGACAAGACAGAUAGCAGCGAGAACCUCUGCUGACUCCAACGCUUCCCAUCGUUGACUUUCCUGGCUGUGCCAGGCUGGGUCACAGCCACCGAGUGUCCCCUGCGAGGACAGCUUCCAGAGGCAUGGCUGAGGCCAGCAGAGCCUCCAGCUCCCAUCGCCUCCCCCGGCUUGUGGAACACAGCAGCGAAGUAGCUGGGCCCCAGAGGAGGAGGAGGAUGGAAACUCAGCUCCUGGGGUGCUCUCACCAAAUCAGUGGCUGCUGGAUCACACCUGCAAAACGUUUCUGAAGAUUUCUAAAUCCCAAAGCCAAUGCAACGUCUGAUCGCAGCCCCACAAAACCACCUCCUCUUCUGCCUGCCUGUGCCCAGGCUGCAGUCUGGGGGCUCUCACGUGUGAGCGUCUGAUCCCCGGGGUGUGGGGUGCCUGGAGGACUGCUCACUGCUGAAGGUUUUGUUUUCUCCCAUGGUAAAACACUGGGAGCCUUGGGCGGUGGGACUGCAGAGCAGAUGAAGACAGAUCCCUGAAAUCCGUCCAGCUGGGAGCAGGACUCUGGUUGCUCCUGACCAGAAGGAUGUUAGCACUCAGCUCAGAUCAACGUUUGGUAUUUAAGACUGAUCAGAAUGAGGAGCGGGUGAAACUCUCCCAGAAGGCUGACCACCCCUGCUGUAACCCCCCUGUGUCUGGUGCACGUCUGCUCGCUGCCCAUGCAGCUGCUCCUCCAGGUGGGUAUGGGGGCAGAGACACGGUGAGCCCUGCCCAGGUCCCCCCCCAGGCACAGCACCAGGACGGUCUGCACUGCCUGGGCUCUCGCUUCUGGCAGAGAGGUGAGAAAUAAUUUUCAGGACCUGCAGCUCAUGUCAGAUCUACCCCUCCUUUCAAUGUAUUUCAAAUCCAGGGGAGUCUGUUUCCCUCCUCUUCCCCCCUCCGAGGGAGGAUCCGUACCCACCUCUGCACGUUCGCGCUGAUUUUGUGAAUGGCAGCAGAAACUCUGACCCCAGACCGAAAAUAUUCCCAUCCGUGCACAGCUCCCCCAGGGAACUGAUGCAACCGUUCCUCGCUCAUUCCACAAUUACCGUGUUACUCCAGCACGAGCUGGGAAGUCUGUCCUUCCAGGAACGUUGGCCAAUCCCAGCCACAGGGAAGGUCCUGAGGGGAUUCUCAGUGUCAGGCAUUUUCUCUGA
rnacentral:lncRNA from 1 species